AAAAAACAUAAAGUGUUCGGCAAAGCUUAAAGCGUAAGCUCAAAGCGUUUGACGCGCGCCACGGCAAGAGUUUCCCAGCUGUCAAGGAUUUAUGCCUUCUUUUGUCGAAGCAGCCAACACACGGCGGCGCCCACAGACCCGCAGCUGUUCCCCGCGCCCAGGAAACACUUCCUUCUCCUCCCGGCCGAGACCUUCAAGCACUGGCAGAUCCGUCCACUGCCACGGCCACCGCCAGAACUGUCACCAGCAGGAAGAAAGAACAGCAAGCCGAGAAGAAGACAGAGGUUCACAGAUCUAAAAAGGGAAAAAUCCGAGAACAGAUCUGGACUAAAACAGACCUGCUUGUUGUGUUUUUGAGUGCUUUGCAGGUCACCGCCCCGCCGCCAGUGUUCCCGCGCCCUGAAACCUUCCAGCACUGUUCCGGUGGAUCAGAAGGCCAUCCCUGCAAUCCCUGUAGAUUUUAGGGGUUUAUUUUGUAAUUUUUGAAUUGUAUUUGAUUUUUUUAUAUUGUAUUUUCUGUGAAAAUAUAAGAAUGUGUUUUUAUAUUUAUUUUGGGAUUUAAUAUAUUUUGAGAUUUAAUAA